rnacentral:ncRNA from 1 species
GUUCAGGAAUUGUUAAAUUUAGAUAUAGGACCCACAGGGAAGCCGGCGACCGAAGCCCCGGUGAACGGCGGCCGUAACUAUAACGGUCCUAAGGUAGCGAAAUUCCUUGUCGGGUAAGUUCCGACCCGCACGAAA